rnacentral:rRNA from 1 species
AGAGUUUGAUCCUGGCUCAGAUUGAACGCUGGCUGCAUGCCUUACACAUGCAAGUCGAACGGCAGCACGGGAGCAAUCCUGGUGGCGAGUGGCGAACGGGUGAGUAAUAUAUCGGAACGUGCCCAGUCGUGGGGGAUAACGCAGCGAAAGCUGUGCUAAUACCGCAUACGAUCUACGGAUGAAAGCGGGGGAUCGCAAGACCUCGCGCGAUUGGAGCGGCCGAUAUCAGAUUAGCUAGUUGGUGGGGUAAAAGCCCACCAAGGCGACGAUCUGUAGCUGGUCUGAGAGGACGACCAGCCACACUGGAACUGAGACACGGUCCAGACUCCUACGGGAGGCAGCAGUGGGGAAUUUUGGACAAUGGGCGCAAGCCUGAUCCAGCAAUGCCGCGUGCAGGACGAAGGCCUUCGGGUUGUAAACUGCUUUUGUACGGAACGAAACGGUCUCCUCUAAUAAAGGGGGCUAAUGACGGUACCGUAAGAAUAAGCACCGGCUAACUACGUGCCAGCAGCCGCGGUAAUAC